CCCUUAGAUGUUCUGGGCCGCACACGCGCUACACUGAAGGAGGCAGCGUGUACUCCUGGAUCGAAAGAUUUGGGUAACCCGCGAAUCUCCUUCGUGCUAGGGAUUGAGGUUUGCAAUUAUCCUUCAUGAACGAGGAAUUCCCAGUAAGCGCAAGUCAUAAGCUUGCGCUGACUACGUCCCUGCCCUUUGUACACACCGCCCGUCGCUACUACCGAUUGAAUGAUUUAGUGAGGACUUCGGACUGGGACCAAUGCGGCUUUCGGGCUGCGUCGGUAUUCUGGAAAGAUGUCCAAACUGUAUCAUUUAGAGGAAGUAAAAGUCGUAACA
rnacentral:rRNA from 1 species